GAUGAACGCUGACAGAAUGCUUAACACAUGCAAGUCUUUGGCGAAGCUGUGCUUGCACAGCCUAGCCAAGGCGGACGGGUGAGUAACGCGUAAGGAACUUGCCCUGCAGUCAGGGAUAACAGACGGAAACGACUGAUAAGACCUGGUAAAGUCAGGCGGACUCAUGUCCAGCCUGAUGAAAAGAGAUGCUGCAGGAGAGCCUUGCGUCCUAUUAGCUUGUUGGUGGGGUAACGGCCCACCAAGGCGAGGAUAGGUAGCCGGCCUGAGAGGGGGGACGGCCACAAGGGGACUGAGAGACGGCCCUUACUCCUACGGGAGGAAGCAGUGGGGAAUAUUGGACAAGGGGGGCAACCCUGAGCCAGCAAUUCGGUGGGGACGAGGAAGGUUUUCGGAUUGUAAAGUGCUUUCAGCAGGGAAGAAAAAAAUGACGGUACCUGCAGAAGAAGCGACGGCUAAAUACGUG
rnacentral:rRNA from 1 species